rnacentral:rRNA from 1 species
GAUGAACGCUGGCGGCGUGCCUAAUACAUGCAAGUCGAGCGAACAGACGAGGAGCUUGCUCCUCUGACGUUAGCGGCGGACGGGUGAGUAACACGUGGAUAACCUACCUAUAAGACUGGGAUAACUUCGGGAAACCGGAGCUAAUACCGGAUAAUAUAUUGAACCGCAUGGUUCAAUAGUGAAAGACGGUUUUGCUGUCACUUAUAGAUGGAUCCGCGCUGCAUUAGCUAGUUGGUAAGGUAACGGCUUACCAAGGCAACGAUGCGUAGCCGAGCUGAGAGGGUGAUCGGCCACACUGGAACUGGGACACGGUCCAGACUCCUACGGGAGGCAGCAGUAGGGAAUGUGCCGCAGUGGGCGAAAGCCUGACGGAGCGGCGCCGCGUGAGUGAUGAAGGUCUUCGGAUCGUAAAACUCUGUUAUUAGGGAAGAACAAAUGUGUAAGUAACUAUGCACGUCUUGACGGUACCUAAUCAGAAAGCCACGGCUAACUACGUG